rnacentral:rRNA from 1 species
UACUACCGAAGCUACGGCAUCAGUAAUGAUGGGUAGGGGAGCUUCCCAUACGGGUUGAAGCAUGACCGUAAGGACAUGUGGACAGUAUGGGAGUGAGAAUGUUGGCAUGAGUAGCGAGAUGUGGGUGGGAAUCCCACAGGCCGUAAACCCAAGGUUGCCAGGGGAAGGUUCGUCCGCCCUGGGUUAGUCGGGACCUAAGCUGAGGCCGAAAGGCGUAGGUGAUGGACAACAGGUUGAUAUUCCUGUACUACCGAUAACCGUUUGAGAGAAGGGAUGACACAGUA